rnacentral:rRNA from 1 species
AGAACGAACGCUGGCGGCACGCCUAACACAUGCAAGUCGAGCGCCCAGCAAUGGGAGCGGCGGACGGGUGAGUAACACGUGGGAACAUGCCUUUCGGUACGGAACAACUGCGGGAAACUGCAGCUAAUGCCGUAUACGCCCUUACGGGGAAAGAUUUAUCGCCGAAAGAUUGGCCCGCGUCUGAUUAGCUAGUUGGUGAGGUAACGGCUCACCAAGGCUUCGAUCAGUAGCUGGUUUGAGAGAACGACCAGCCACAUUGGGACUGAGACACGGCCCAAACUCCUACGGGAGGCAGCAGUGGGGAAUCUUGGACAAUGGGGGAAACCCUGAUCCAGCGAUGCCGCGUGAGUGAUGAAGGCCUUCGGGUUGUAAAACUCUUUCGGACGGGGACGAUAAUGACGGUACCCGUAGAAGAAGCUCCGGCUAACUUCGUGCCAGCAGCCGC